rnacentral:rRNA from 1 species
AGUGAACGCUGGCGGUAGGCCUAACACAUGCAAGUCGAACGGCAGCACAGUACUAGCUUGCUCUUACGGGUGGCGAGGGGCGGACGAGUCCUAAAUACCUCGCUGUCUACUUUUUCUUGGGUGAUAACAUAGGCGCUCUUACCCUAUUAGUGCAUACGACCUACGUGUGAAAGCAUCGGAUCUUCGGCUCUUACACGAUCCGAUGUCGGAUUAGCUAGUUGGUGGGGUAAAGGCCUACCAAGGCGACGAUCCGUAACUGGUCUGAGAGGAUGAUCAGUCACACUGGAACUGAGACACGGUCCAGACUCCUACGGGAGGCAGCAGUGGGGAAUAUUGGACAAUGGGCGAAAGCCUGAUCCAGCCAUGCCGCGUGUGUGAAGAAGGUCUUCGGAUUGUAAAGCACUUUUAGUGGGAAAGAAAAGCAGUAAGUUAAUACCUUGCUGUUUUGACGGUACCAAAAGAAUAAGCACCGGCUAACUUCGUG